GGGGUGUCGGCUCGGGGUGUCCCCCCCAUUGGCAGCACCGUCCCCGCAGAGAGCUCCCCCUGCCCCGGGGGCAGCGCCCUGUCUGUAGGGCAAAGCGAUGAUCAGCAAUAACAAUUUUGGGUAGAGAAGCACCAGUGCCUUCCUUUUAGUGCGACAGGAGUUGUUUCUUCUCAUUCCAUGUGGGACCCGUCACGGUCCGUCCCGAGGGAGCCGGGAAGGAGGGAAGGGACCGGGAUGCGCAGGGAGGGCUCCCUCGCUGCCGUAAGAAUCAUGAUUUCCAGACCCCCCAGUGUUGUUCCGAGUGCCUUAUAUCCCUAUAUCCGCCCGCUUCCCGACAGAAGGUGUUUCUGUCCCUCGUGCUCUCCUGCCUCUUCCGCCCCCCUCACCUUGUGUCCCUCGGUCCCUCUGUCCCCAUGGGAUUCCCAGCUGUGCCUGCUCCUCCUGCACCGGCCCAGUCCUGCCAGGGCUGUGCUGCUGUGGGGACCCUGUCCCUCCUUUCCCAGAUCCCGUCCCUCCUUUCCCAGACCCCGGCCCUCCCUUCCCAAACCCUUUCCCUCCUUUCCCAGACCCCAGCCCUCCUUUCCCAGACCCCAGCCCUCCUUUCCCAAACCCUUUCUCUUCUUUCCCAAACCCUUUCCCUUAUUUUCUGGACUCUUCCUUCUUUCCUGGACCCUUUCCCCUCUUUCCUUGACCCUUUUCCUUCUUUCCCAGACUCUUUCCCUUCUUUCCUGGACUUUUUCUCUUCUUUCCUGGACUCUUUCUUUCCUGGACCCUUUCCCUUCUUUCCCAGAUCCUUACCCUUUUUUCUCCAGACCCUUUCCCUUCAUUCCCUUCUUUCCCGGACUCUUUCCCUUCUUUCCUGGACCUUUUAUCUUCUUUCCUGGACUCUUUCUUUCCUGGACCCUUUCCCUUCUUUCCCAGAUCCUUACCCUUUUUUCUCCAGACCCUUUCCCUUCAUUCCCUCCUUUCCCAGACCCUUUCCCUUCUUUCCCAGACCCUUUCCCAGACCCUUUCCCAGACCCUUUCCCAGACCCUUUCCCGGACCCUUUUCCUUCUUUCCCAGACUCUUUCCCAGACUCUUUCCCUGACCCUCUCCCAGUUUCUCCCCUGGCUCAGGGUGUGUGGAUGAUCCCAGGGGGGUUACCGAGGCCGGUGGGCAGUGGCAGCACCGGGGGGCUGGGAGCUGUUGGUGCUGCUGAUGUUGCUGUGCUCCCCCCCCCGUGCCUGUGUCACAGGAGAGGGGGAAAGAUGGGAUUUGGGAAUCCCUUCUCCCUGUGGGAGCUCCGGGGGCGCCUUUAG
rnacentral:lncRNA from 1 species